GCUUUAGGCAUGCAAGUCGAACGAGAGAGUCUUCGGGGUGAGUAGAGUGGCGAACGGGUGAGUAACACGUGGGCAACCUGCCCCUCGCAGGGGGAUAACCGGAGGAAACUCCGGCUAAUACCCCGUAAGCUUUCAGGGUCGCAUGGCCCUGUAAGGAAAGGUAGCUUCGGCCAUCCGGCGAGGGAUGGGCCCGCGGUGCAUUAGCUAGUUGGUGGGGUAACGGCCCACCAAGGCGACGAUGCGUAGCUGGUCUGAGAGGAUGAUCAGCCACACUGGGACUGAGACACGGCCCAGACUCCUACGGGAGGCAGCAGCCAGGAAUCUUGGGCAAUGGGCGAAAGCCUGACCCAGCAACACCGUGUGGGCGAUGAAGGCCUUCGGGUCGUAAAGCCCUGUUGAUAGGGACGAAGGGCGAAGGGUUAAUAGCCCCUAGCCUGACGGUACCUUUCGAGGAAGCCCCGGCUAACUACGUGCCAGCAGCCGCGGUAAUACGUAGGGGGCGAGCGUUGUCCGGAAUUAUUGGGCGUAAAGAGCGUGUAGGCGGUUCGGUAAGUCUGCCGUGAAAACCUGAGGCUCAACCUCGGGCGUGCGGUGGAUACUGCCGGGCUAGAGGACGGUAGAGGCGAGUGGAAUUCCCGGUGUAGCGGUGAAAUGCGCAGAUAUCGGGAGGAACACCAGUAGCGAAGGCGGCUCGCUGGGCCGUUCCUGACGCUGAGACGCGAAAGCUAGGGGAGCGAACAGGAUUAGAUACCCUGGUAGUCCUAGCCGUAAACGAUGGACACUAGGUUUGGGGGGAGUCGAAUCCCUCUGUGCCGCAGUUAACGCGUUAAGUGUCCCGCCUGGGGAGUACGGCCGCAAGGCUAAAACUCAAAAGAAUUGACGGGGGCCCGCACAAGCAGCGGAGCAUGUUCUUUAAUUCGAUGCAACGCGAAGAACCUUACCUGGACUUGACAUGGUGCUGCAAGCGCACGGAAACGUGUGACCUUCGAGGGUGCACCACAGAUGCUGCAUGGCUGUCGCCAGCUCGUGUCGUGAGAUGUUGGGUUAAGUCCCGCAACGAGCGCGACCCCUGUGAACUGUCGCCACCGAGCCGUGAGGCUCGAGCACUCUGUUCAGACUGCCCCGCUCUAACGGGGAGGAAGGUGGGGACGACGUCAAGUCAGUAUGGCCCUUACGGCCUGGGCUGCACACGUACUACAAUGCCCAGUACAGAACGAUCCUAGACCGCGAGGUGGAGGAAAUCACUAAAACUGGGCCCAGUUCAGAUUGAAGUCUGCAACUCGACUUCAUGAAGCCGGAAUCGCUAGUAAUGGCGUAUCAGCUACGACGCCGUGAUCACGCUCCCGGGCAUUGUACUCACCGC
rnacentral:rRNA from 1 species